CAUGGAAGUUUGAGGGAGGUAUGUUCUAACACCGUUCCUAAUUGUGACGACUGUGUUGGCUCAACAAUGACUAAAUCAGAAACUCAAAGCUGGAAAUGGGCAUCACAGGCUUCUGGAAAGAUAAAAAGCCACAAGAUGUGUAGAAUCCACAUUGCUGCCUGUGUCAGCGACAGAUUGCCCUCAUAAAAGGUCUUGUCUGUUCCAGGGUACACUAUGGUGUUUCAACCGUGGAGAACGGAGAGCUGUGUACUGAACCCGAUUCUUAAAUUUUGUGGUUGUAAAAUGUCUGGGUCACUGAUGUAGAAGCUUUCAAGAGCACCAGGGAGGCAAUUCUAGGAGGAGAUCGCAUCAAUUAUACCUCAGAAGUUCCAGAUCAUUUCUCUGAGGACAGACUUUGAAAGAAGGAGAGACAGGAUCUCUGAGGAGGGAAACUGGCACAAAGAGAAAAACCCUGCACACAGGGAGAAGACGAUUUACGCGCCUCCAGUCAGCCCCAUGGACAGCAUGGCCCCAUGACAUUGCUCUGCUCCCCCACAUUUAUUUUCAAUAAAAUCAUCCAUCAGGAUGUGACUAGGUCGUGCUCCAAGCCUUAAGAAAGAAAAGCCAGACACGAAUUCCAGACUCUAGCAUGACUUCUAUAGUAGCAAGCAUGUAUGGUUCGAAUACUGACAGUUUACCUGUCCAAGAGCUUGGCUGGAAGCCUUGUAUUUUUAUGACAAAUAAUGCCUUUGGUUGGUGCAUGAAACGAAUAG
rnacentral:lncRNA from 1 species